rnacentral:rRNA from 1 species
CAGUCCAGGUAGUCGCCUUCGCCACUGAGUGUUCCUUCCUAUAUCUACGCAUUUCACCGCUACACAGGAAAUUCCACUACCCUCUACCGUACUCUAGCUCGCCAGUUUUGGAUGCAGUUCCCAGGUUGAGCCCGGGGCUUUCACAUCCAACUUAACGAACCACCUACGCGCGCUUUACGCCCAGUAAUUCCGAUUAACGCUUGCACCCUUCGUAUUACCGCGGCUGCUGGCACGAAGUUAGCCGGUGCUUAUUCUGUUGGUAACGUCAAAACCGCAGGAUAUUAGCCUACAGCCCUUCCUCCCAACUUAAAGUGCUUUACAAUCCGAAGACCUUCUUCACACACGCGGCAUGGCUGGAUCAGGCUUUCGCCCAUUGUCCAAUAUUCCCCACUGCUGCCUCCCGUAGGAGUCUGGACCGUGUCUCAGUUCCAGUGUGACUGAUCAUCCUCUCAGACCAGUUACGGAUCGUCGCCUUGGUGAGCCAUUACCUCACCAACUAGCUAAUCCGACCUAGGCUCAUCUGAUAGCGCAAGGCCCGAAGGUCCCCUGCUUUCUCCCGUAGGACGUACGCGGUAUUAGCGUUCCUUUCGGAACGUUAUCCCCCACUACCAGGCAGAUUCCUAGGCAUUACUCACCCGUCCGCCGCUGAAUCCAGGAGCAAGCUCCCUUCAUCCGCUCGACUUGCAUGUGUUAGGCCUG